rnacentral:rRNA from 1 species
CAAGCAGCGGAGCGUGUGGUUUAAUUCGAUGCAACGCGAAGAACCUUACCAAGGCUUGACAUGUCGGAAGUAGCAACCUGAAAGGGAAGCCACCUGUUAAGUCAGGAACCGUCACAGGUGCUGCAUGGCUGUCGUCAGCUCGUGCCGUGAGGUGUUGGGUUAAGUCCCGUAACGAGCGCAACCCUCGUUGCCAGUUAUCUUCUCUGGCGAGACUGCCCCCAAAAACGGGGAGGAAGGUGGGGAUGACGUCAAGUCAGCACGGCCCUUACGCCUUGGGCUACACACACGCUACAAUGGGUGGUACAAUGGGUAGCAAUGGAGCGAUCCGGAGCCAAUCCUAAAAGCCAUCCUCAGUUCGGAUUGCAGGCUGAAAUCGCCUGCAUGAAGUCGGAGUUGCUAGUAACCGCAGGUCAGCAUACUGCGGUGAAUACGUUCUCGGGCCUU